ACCCAUAGUCACAUACAGGAGUCACUGCCAUUUUCUCAAAGGCAAUUAGGGAUGGGCAUAAAUGCUUGGCAUGCUACUGGUGCCUGUAUCCAAUGAAUGGAGGGAAGAAACCAUGAGAGUGCCAAACA